rnacentral:pre_miRNA from 1 species
UUAUGAACUUAAUCCACGUUGUCACCAUGAAUCGAGAGAAAAACGACUCUAGUAAUGUGAAUCUAGGAAUUAGUUUUGCGAAAACAGUGUUAUAGUUUGAGACUACUGAUGUCGCAUGCGAUGAAACUGUGACGUUACUAGAGCCACUUUUCUCUCGAUUCUUGGUGGAACAUUGGGUUGAACUCGUAA